ensembl:lncRNA
GUCAAACUACUGUGGGCAGCAGGAGGAGCGACGCUCUCGCCGCUGGUGUCCAGUGAGACUGAGGAGAUCGGAGACGACGGACUGAGAGAGCUGAAAAGUGUGUGUGCUCUGGAGAGGUCAACAGGCCUGCCGAGUCCCACAAGCAAACAGCCGGAGAGACGCAAGAAUGGACAUGCAAUAAAAACAAAAGCAGCAGUUGCAGACCCUGACACCGAAGGAAUAGAAUACAUCGACGAAAAAGUGGACGGAGAUAACAACAACACUGAAAGGGAGGAAGAAACGCUGUCAGAAGUGGACGAGGACAGCGACAAAGAACGAGAGGACGACCCCGGAGCUCUGCACAUCAACAGGGUCAACCUGAGGAGGGGUCCCAGAGAAAACGAGAGGGCACGUCUGAGAGUCUGCCUGGAGAUCACACACCCUACACUCAAACUUCCUGUUUAUCGAACCUGGACAGGUGAGACGCACAGUGAAUAUGACAUCUAACCUGCCAUUUAAAUGUCAGUUUUUAAAACACAUUUUACAGAGUGUGCAUCAUGAAACACCUUCAACUGGUUGAGUGAAAGUUUUGUGUUGCGUUGCACAGGACGAAAGCCAAUCUUCCUCUCAACAGGAAGUUUGUUCAUGUUUUGUUUCUCUCUCCCAGAGCCCAAUGAGGAAAUUUCAUCUUCUGCAUGAACGCCCUGCAAGAGCGCUUCUCUAUUUCACAUAUCCCAUGUAAUGUAUCUAAUAUUUAUCUCUAAAGUACAUAUAAACCUGUAGUUCUGUUUUUUUUUUUUUUUUUUUUUUUUUUUUUUUUUUUUUUAGGGUAUCCAACUGUAUUAAAU